rnacentral:rRNA from 1 species
AUGAACGCUAGCGACAGGCUUAACACAUGCAAGUCGAGGGGCAGCACAGGUAGCAAUACCGGGUGGCGACCGGCGCACGGGUGAGUAACGCGUAUGCAACUUGCCUAUCAGAGGGGGAUAACCCGGCGAAAGUCGGACUAAUACCGCAUGAAGCAGGGAUCCCGCAUGGGAAUAUUUGCUAAAGAUUCAUCGCUGAUAGAUAGGCAUGCGUUCCAUUAGGCAGUUGGCGGGGUAACGGCCCACCAAACCGACGAUGGAUAGGGGUUCUGAGAGGAAGGUCCCCCACAUUGGUACUGAGACACGGACCAAACUCCUACGGGAGGCAGCAGUGAGGAAUAUUGGUCAAUGGCCGAGAGGCUGAACCAGCCAAGUCGCGUGAGGGAUGAAGGUUCUAUGGAUCGUAAACCUCUUUUAUAAGGGAAUAAAGUGCGGGACGUGUCCCGUUUUGUAUGUACCUUAUGAAUAAGGAUCGGCUAACUCCGUGCCAGCAGCCGCGGUAAUACGGAGGAUCCGAGCGUUAUCCGGAUUUAUUGGGUUUAAAGGGUGCGUAGGCGGCCUUUUAAGUCAGCGGUGAAAGUCUGUGGCUCAACCAUAGAAUUGCCGUUGAAACUGGGGGGCUUGAGUAUGUUUGAGGCAGGCGGAAUGCGUGGUGUAGCGGUGAAAUGCAUAGAUAUCACGCAGAACCCCGAUUGCGAAGGCAGCCUGCCAAGCCAUUACUGACGCUGAUGCACGAAAGCGUGGGGAUCAAACAGGAUUAGAUACCCUGGUAGUCCACGCAGUAAACGAUGAUCACUAGCUGUUUGCGAUACACUGUAAGCGGCACAGCGAAAGCGUUAAGUGAUCCACCUGGGGAGUACGCCGGCAACGGUGAAACUCAAAGGAAUUGACGGGGGCCCGCACAAGCGGAGGAACAUGUGGUUUAAUUCGAUGAUACGCGAGGAACCUUACCCGGGUUUGAACGCAUUCGGACCGAGGUGGAAACACCUUUUCUAGCAAUAGCCGUUUGCGAGGUGCUGCAUGGUUGUCGUCAGCUCGUGCCGUGAGGUGUCGGCUUAAGUGCCAUAACGAGCGCAACCCUUGCCACUAGUUACUAACAGGUAAAGCUGAGGACUCUGGUGGGACUGCCAGCGUAAGCUGCGAGGAAGGCGGGGAUGACGUCAAAUCAGCACGGCCCUUACAUCCGGGGCGACACACGUGUUACAAUGGCGUGGACAAAGGGAGGCCACCUGGCGACAGGGAGCGAAUCCCCAAACCACGUCUCAGUUCGGAUCGGAGUCUGCAACCCGACUCCGUGAAGCUGGAUUCGCUAGUAAUCGCGCAUCAGCCAUGGCGCGGUGAAUACGUUCCCGGGCCUUGUACACACCGCCCGUCAAGCCAUGGGAGCCGGGGGUACCUGAAGUCCGUAACCGCGAGGAUCGGCCUAGGGUAAAACUGGUGACUGGGGCU